rnacentral:sRNA from 1 species
GGAAGAAAAAGCUUGGUUUUGGUGAUUCAAGAAGGAACGGAAGUGCAAAGAUAAGGUUAAAGUACUGUGGUGGCGUGCCGGAGUAAACAAUGAGUGAUCGGCCAGUGAAAAUAAUCAGAGACACCUCCGAUCAAAUAGUGAUGUAAUAUCCCGCUAUUGUAAGGUUUUCUUGAGUCAAAGGUGAUUGGACCAUAAGACGAGGUGCUCCUCCCUAUCCAUUGCUCGGUAGGUUUACCAUGACAUUAAAUAUUAGCAACCAUGCCCAGAGUCACUCCGCUGAUGGUCAAGUUUUAAUUAUGUGUAUAUGACUACUUGAUGUGAAAUGCUGAGAUUCACUAGUCAAAUUAUAUGUAUGUAUAUAAUGGUUCAUGAUGCCAUUAUGAAUACAUGACUGGGUUUAAUGAGUUGUUUUCAAAAGAGUUGUAAUUAAGCGUUAUGAAUUUCGGAUUCUAAAGGAAUAUGGAUCAAUGUAUAGGAUCAUGUAAGUAGGCUUGCUUGGGCUUAGUGGGCUGAGCCCAUUGGUCCCUUGAGCCGGUCAUGGCCCAAAAUUUGGGCUGUGACAAUGUUGGUAUCAAAGCAAAGGGUUUAACCCGAUCCUUGGGAACUCUCGCAUGUGAACAGUGGUGAAGCGUGACUCUUCGCCUAGGGGCUUGUAGAGAGGGUUGCCUCCCACGAGUAGUUUGAUAGGUACCCUUUGUUGCCACCAUUGAAGGAGGAAAGGGCUACUUGUAGAGAGGGUCGUCCCCUAUGAGUGGAGCCGCCCCUAGUGACAAUUGUGGUAUCAGAGCUAUAGGUUUAGUUGAAUCCUAAGGAUUCCUGUCUGGUUAGCGAAGAUGUUGGAGUCCGUGUAGAGUCUUGUCCUUGGAUUAUGGGUGCACAACACAAGUCAAGGACGGUAGGCUACUUGGGCCCCUACUUCAUUAGAAACCUACCUGUUCUUAUUAUGUCUAGAUGGAUGAGUAAUUUAUACUUGGUUGCGUAUAGGUGGAGGUACAUCGGUUGCUCACCCCAUGACUAGAAAGGAU